GUCGAGAAUUUUUCUCAAUGGGGGAAACCCUGAAGGAGCGACGCCGCGUGGGGGAUGAAUGGCUUCGGCCCGUAAACCCCUGUCAUUUGCGAUCAAACCUUACGACUUAACACGUCGUAAGCUGAUAGUAGCGAAAGAGGAAGGGACGGCUAACUCUGUGCCAGCAGCCGCGGUAAUACAGAGGUCCCAAGCGUUGUUCGGAUUCACUGGGCGUAAAGGGUGCGUAGGCGGUCGGGUAAGUCUGACGUGAAAUCUUCAAGCUCAACUUGGAAACUGCGUCCGAUACUAUUCGGCUAGAGGAAUGGAGGGGAGACUGGAAUACUUGGUGUAGCAGUGAAAUGCGUAGAUAUCAAGUGGAACACCAGUGGCGAAGGCGAGUCUCUGGACAUUUCCUGACGCUGAGGCACGAAAGCCAGGGGAGCAAACGGGAUUAGAAACCCGUGUAGUCC
rnacentral:rRNA from 1 species